UUUUCUCUCAAUUUUCCUUCACGGUCGAUAAUCUGAACAUCUUUGGAUCAUUGAUGCUCACUCUUCGGUUGGCAACACACAGCGGCACAGACAAACACAACCACAGGUGUCCCCGGAUGGGGCGUGGCUCUCCUGGUGAUGACAUCACUGAUCCUGUCAUAUCUGAUCCUGUGCAUGAUCUUGGCGCCCAUGCUCAAGAAGCAUCAUGGAGGUCACGGGGGCCACUGAUCGGGCACCGGGGCCACUCAUGGACAGAGCCUGUGUUAUAUUGUGUCUGUAUAUUGUUAC